GGCAGCUCCCAGGUAGGAGUGGGCGGCUGUCAGGCGCUAAGAAAGCAGGCUGUUGCCUGUUAUUUCCCUGCUGGGAAAAGGAGCUGCCAAGUGCAAGAGGAGAGGAAAAAAAAGCUCUCUGUGGGACUCCAGAGGGUAAAUACGUUCCAGAUGGAGCCACUCAAGAUGGUUUAUGGAAAGGCUGUAUUUAAAGAUACGAUACGUAUGGCCUCCUGGAUCCUGUACUCAAGAGAGGUGUGAACUCAGGUAAAGCAGUGCUCCUAAGAAAUUGUCAACUGGGAUGAUGACAACAGGAAACCUGGCAGGAGAUUGAACUGGAGAUAGCAAAUUGUCUGUCUGCCAAAGGGACCGGUGUUGUUGCCCCUGCAUAUUUAUCACUAGUCUGCUUUCCCCCUACCCAGUGCUAUUUCUUACUUGUCAUUAGAUGUGCAGUGUUGCAAAGGCUUCCUUACUGCUGUAGAAGAGUUAAACAAAAUCAGGAGUGGAGAGGAUCAUUAGGAGAGAGACUUUGCUCAGGACUAUAUCUUGCUAAACAACCUUUUACAUUGUCAGUAUGAGGAAAAUGCUUUGGGGUGGGUAGCAUCUGGGCAUGAUUAGAUUUUAACAGAUUUCUCAGACAGUAGAUAGUGAGAUACAGAGCUUUUCAGCCCUGUAUCCUUAGGACAAUUCCAGUUCAGCUCUACAAGACUAGAAGUCAUUUCCCUGUUCUCUGUGUCAUAUUACUUGGGACUCCUCACAUGGGUACUCCUGGUGGACAGAUGUCCACGUUAGUUUUGUCCUGCCUCAUAACCUGACACCAAGGAUUGAAAAAAACUAUUAGGCUCAGUCCCUUCUCCCCCCCCCCCAAUAAACUCCACACUCUCUCAGGGUGAAGGAAGGAAGUGGUAGAGGGUGAUGGAUUGGGAAAUGGGGUGGAGUGAAUGGCUGGGCUGCAAGGAAGAAUGCAACCAAAAGGGAGGAACGGUAGGAAGAGUCAUUGAGCUGGUAGGGAGAAGAAAGAGAGAAAGCAAUAUGAUCAGGCAGGAAAAGGUUAAACAGAAGGUUAGCGAAGAGGGAUGGAGACUGGGGGAAAGUGUGAUAGUCAUGGGAGGAAAGGUACUUGAUAGGACAGAGAUGAAGGAGGUGGAUAGAAGGCUAGACAAGUAAAAUGGAUAUUUAAAGGCAGAGGGAAUGAGGUUGGUAGGAACUUAAUUGGGUGGAGGAAGGUUUUGAAGAGUUCUGAAAACCAGGGAACUUUUUUUUUAAGAUUGGAUUUGGAAAUGUUAGAAAACUGAUACUCUGUCCUUUCAGGAGUCAGUCAUCCUUGAUCCAUUGUGAGGAACAAAUUUAAGCAGUGAGGUGCAUGUUUCUAAAGCUGCAACCUCCAGGUGUCAAUUUUGUUUCCUGGGAUAAUACACCAAAGUGGGGCUAAGUGGAUGGGGAGUACCCCC